UCCCAGUGAAUCUCUGUUGUGUUGCCCAGUGUCUAAAUUUGAUGAAUUUCAGUGGAGACACAGGGCAUAACUGAGAUCAGUCUUGAGCUGUAGAUCAGUGAGUACCUUUAACGGAAAAUUCUUUUACCAGUCUGGUACCCUGAAGGAAGCUUCCCCUAAAAAAUGAUAUUUCUGACAAAUAGAGGACUUUGCUAGUAAAUAAAUCCAGCUUAACGGGAUGACCCCACUCUGGAUGUCUGAGGCAGGUGGGAGGCUGACCUCUAGAGUUGGCGCUGCAGGUACUGAAGAUGAGCUCCACUGUGUUGUAUUCCACCUACCCCAUGGACACAGAAGAGACGCUUUGCUUUCUUUCAGGCUACCUAGGUAGAAAUACAAGACAGAUAAUAUCUGUGCCUUCAGAAAAAGCAUAUCUCUAAAAAAAGCCCACAUUUUACCUUAGAGAUUGUUUGUAACUCUGACUGAGAUGCCUCAAAGGAAAUAUCAAAUAGAAAUUUGUAUUUUAUAUGCAGCUGAAAUAAAAGAAACUCCUGAAUGCUUUGUUAUUUUAUAUGCCUUCUGCCUUUCAUAGCCUUUGGGGCGGAGUCAUUUUCACAUGGUCUGCAUACAGCAAUUUUAUGCAGAAAAAAUAUUCACAUACAAAGCAAAGCCAGAAUCAUCUGGCACAUAGCUCACAGGGACAGAUGGUGCCACCUGCAUUCUCGGGCAAGAAUAGUCCCAGCCAGGCUAUGGUGUGAGCACCAUGAAGUCUGGCUUGUUAAGAAAGGAUAUGGCAGAGCAGAAGGGAGAGGACUGCCUGAUCAUAGUGGCCUUCUCCUGAAGUGUGCACUCUGGGUAACAUGGUAUAGAUGCUAACUCCAAAGACAUGGUACAGGUGCUUCCACCACCUGUCUCUGGACAUCUCAAGUCCCUGUUGAGCAUGCACCAUCCCCGCUGCACCUUAUGGGAGACAUCCGUGAAGUGUGUUUGAAAAAAAAACUGCUAGCAAGAUCAUCAUGAGUACAUGUAAUUUCAGGAAUUAAAUGGACCAGGCAAGGCUAUGAAAGCACUUCAGUCCAGAUCCUCAUGUUACUGUCUGUGUACUUGGGUUGAUUGCUCAAGAGUUUCAAUAAAAUCAUGUUAAAUACUAACGAGGUUGGCUGCUGAUGAUUAGGAGCAGAUCUGCCC
rnacentral:lncRNA from 7 species